UUCGUACUCCCUCCGUUCCGAAUUACUUGUCGCGGGUAUGGAUGUAUCUAGAUGUAUUUUAGUUCUAGAUACAUCCAUUUUUGCGACGAAUAAUUUGGAACGGAGGGAGUACCAA
rfam:Triticum aestivum genome assembly, contig: Triticum_aestivum_CS42_TGACv1_scaffold_362237_4DS